rnacentral:rRNA from 1 species
UACGGGGGGGGCAAGCGUUGUUCGGAAUUACUGGGCGUAAAAGGCUCGUAGGCGGCCAACUAAGUCAGACGUGAAAUCCCCAGGCUUAACCUGGGAACUGCGUCUGAUACUGGAUGGCUUGAAUCCGGGAGAGGGAUGCGGAAUUCCAGGUGUAGCGGUGAAAUACGUAGAUAUCUGGAGGAACACCGGUGGCGAAGGCGGCAUCCUGGACCGGCAUUGAUGCUGAGGCGCGAAAGCCAGGGGAGCAAACGGG